UGCGUAGGCGGAAUAUUAAGUCAGUGGUGAAAUCCUGCGGCUCAACCGUAGAACUGCCAUUGAUACUGAUAUUCUUGAAUGUAGUUGAAGUAGGCGGAAUGUGUAAUGUAGCGGUGAAAUGCUUAGAUAUUACACAGAACACCGAUUGCGAAGGCAGCUUGCUAAACUAUGAUUGACGCUGAUGCACGAAAGCGUGGGGAGCGAACAGGAUUAGAUACCCUGGUAGUC
rnacentral:rRNA from 1 species